rnacentral:vault_RNA from 1 species
GCACUGGCAUAGCUCAGUGGUUACUUCGAUCAUCAAAUCUCUCAGAUUUCGCAGGUCUCUCUCCCGACCAGGGAUCGAACCACGGGCGCUGUCCAGUGUUUUC